GUAGGUGAACCUGCGGAAGGAUCAUUAUUGUAUAACCGAGGUGCGAGGGCUGUCGCUGACCCGAAAGGUCGUGCACGCCCGAGUGCCCUCACACACAUCCAUCUCACCCCUAUGUGCACCACCGCGUGGGUCCCCCUUUGGCUUGUUCGGAGGGGGGCUUACGUUUUCACACAAACUUUGUAUGCAGUGUAGAAUGUAUUUUUUGUUUUUGCGAUCACGCAAUCAAUACAACUUUCAACAACGGAUCUCUUGGCUCUCGCAUCGAUGAAGAACGCAGU
rnacentral:misc_RNA from 1 species